rnacentral:rRNA from 1 species
AUGAACGCUAGCUACAGGCUUAACACAUGCAAGUCGAGGGGCAGCAUGGUCUUAGCUUGCUAAGGCCGAUGGCGACCGGCGCACGGGUGAGUAACACGUAUCCAACCUGCCGUCUACUCUUGGACAGCCUUCUGAAAGGAAGAUUAAUACAAGAUGGCAUCAUGAGUCCGCAUGUUCACAUGAUUAAAGGUAUUCCGGUAGACGAUGGGGAUGCGUUCCAUUAGAUAGUAGGCGGGGUAACGGCCCACCUAGUCUUCGAUGGGUAGGGGUUCUGAGAGGAAGGUCCCCCACAUUGGAACUGAGACACGGUCCAAACUCCUACGGGAGGCAGCAGUGAGGAAUAUUGGUCAAUGGGCGAGAGCCUGAACCAGCCAAGUAGCGUGAAGGAUGACUGCCCUAUGGGUUGUAAACUUCUUUUAUAAAGGAAUAAAGUCGGGUAUGGAUACCCGUUUGCAUGUACUUUAUGAAUAAGGAUCGGCUAACUCCGUGCCAGCAGCCGCGGUAAUACGGAGGAUCCGAGCGUUAUCCGGAUUUAUUGGGUUUAAAGGGAGCGUAGAUGGAUGUUUAAGUCAGUUGUGAAAGUUUGCGGCUCAACCGUAAAAUUGCAGUUGAUACUGGAUAUCUUGAGUGCAGUUGAGGCAGGCGGAAUUCGUGGUGUAGCGGUGAAAUGCUUAGAUAUCACGAAGAACUCCGAUUGCGAAGGCAGCCUGCUAAGCUGCAACUGACAUUGAGGCUCGAAAGUGUGGGUAUCAAACAGGAUUAGAUACCCUGGUAGUCCACACGGUAAACGAUGAAUACUCGCUGUUUGCGAUAUACUGCAAGCGGCCAAGCGAAAGCGUUAAGUAUUCCACCUGGGGAGUACGCCGGCAACGGUGAAACUCAAAGGAAUUGACGGGGGCCCGCACAAGCGGAGGAACAUGUGGUUUAAUUCGAUGAUACGCGAGGAACCUUACCCGGGCUUAAAUUGCAGAUGAAUUACGGUGAAAGCCGUAAGCCGCAAGGCAUCUGUGAAGGUGCUGCAUGGUUGUCGUCAGCUCGUGCCGUGAGGUGUCGGCUUAAGUGCCAUAACGAGCGCAACCCUUGUUGUCAGUUACUAACAGGUUCCGCUGAGGACUCUGACAAGACUGCCAUCGUAAGAUGUGAGGAAGGUGGGGAUGACGUCAAAUCAGCACGGCCCUUACGUCCGGGGCUACACACGUGUUACAAUGGGGGGUACAGAGGGCCGCUACCACGCGAGUGGAUGCCAAUCCCCAAAACCUCUCUCAGUUCGGACUGGAGUCUGCAACCCGACUCCACGAAGCUGGAUUCGCUAGUAAUCGCGCAUCAGCCACGGCGCGGUGAAUACGUUCCCGGGCCUUGUACACACCGCCCGUCAAGCCAUGGGAGCCGGGGGUACCUGAAGUGCGUAACCGCGAGGAGCGCCCUAGGGUAAAACUGAUGACUGGGGCU